CUGAACUUGUCCAAUGAAUAAGUUAAAAAAUUAACAUUUAACCUAUGCAACAAUCAAAUUGUCGAACGAAGAACAAGCAUUUCCAAUGGUUUAAUGAUGGUGAAUCAAGGUUGGAAAGCGCUGGCUUAGAUCAGGGGCGCUCAGCAUCGGCGAUCUACCAUAAAAGUAUUAGGCGGCAAGUUUUUAUAAAUUGAACGUCAGAGAUUUCAAACAUAUAUGUAAUCGAUCGAUUUAAAAACCUUUCGUGAUCGACCACCAUGAUG